rnacentral:rRNA from 1 species
UUGAACGCUGGCGGCAGGCCUAACACAUGCAAGUCGAGCGGUAGCACAGAGAGCUUGCUCUCGGGUGACGAGCGGCGGACGGGUGAGUAAUGUCUGGGAAACUGCCUGAUGGAGGGGGAUAACUACUGGAAACGGUAGCUAAUACCGCAUAACGUCGCAAGACCAAAGUGGGGGACCUUCGGGCCUCAUGCCAUCAGAUGUGCCCAGAUGGGAUUAGCUAGUAGGUGGGGUAACGGCUCACCUAGGCGACGAUCCCUAGCUGGUCUGAGAGGAUGACCAGCCACACUGGAACUGAGACACGGUCCAGACUCCUACGGGAGGCAGCAGUGGGGAAUAUUGCUCAAUGGGCGCAAGCCUGAUGCAGCCAUGCCGCGUGUGUGAAGAAGGCCUUCGGGUUGUAAAGCACUUUCAGCGGGGAGGAAGGCGAUAAGGUUAAUAACCUUGUCGAUUGACGUUACCCGCAGAAGAAGCACCGGCUAACUCCGUGCCAGCAGCCGCGGUAAUACGGAGGGUGCAAGCGUUAAUCGGAAUUACUGGGCGUAAAGCGCACGCAGGCGGUCUGUCAAGUCGGAUGUGAAAUCCCCGGGCUCAACCUGGGAACUGCAUUCGAAACUGGCAGGCUAGAGUCUUGUAGAGGGGGGUAGAAUUCCAGGUGUAGCGGUGAAAUGCGUAGAGAUCUGGAGGAAUACCGGUGGCGAAGGCGGCCCCCUGGACAAAGACUGACGCUCAGGUGCGAAAGCGUGGGGAGCAAACAGGAUUAGAUACCCUGGUAGUCCACGCCGUAAACGAUGUCGAUUUGGAGGUUGUGCCCUUGAGGCGUGGCUUCCGGAGCUAACGCGUUAAAUCGACCGCCUGGGGAGUACGGCCGCAAGGUUAAAACUCAAAUGAAUUAACGGGGGCCCGCACAAGCGGUGGAGCAUGUGGUUUAAUUCGAUGCAACGCGAAGAACCUUACCUGGUCUUGACAUCCACAGAACUUUCCAGAGAUGGAUUGGUGCCUUCGGGAACUGUGAGACAGGUGCUGCAUGGCUGUCGUCAGCUCGUGUUGUGAAAUGUUGGGUUAAGUCCCGCAACGAGCGCAACCCUUAUCCUUUGUUGCCAGCGGUUAGGCCGGGAACUCAAAGGAGACUGCCAGUGAUAAACUGGAGGAAGGUGGGGAUGACGUCAAGUCAUCAUGGCCCUUACGACCAGGGCUACACACGUGCUACAAUGGCAUAUACAAAGAGAAGCGACCUCGCGAGAGCAAGCGGACCUCAUAAAGUAUGUCGUAGUCCGGAUUGGAGUCUGCAACUCGACUCCAUGAAGUCGGAAUCGCUAGUAAUCGUAGAUCAGAAUGCUACGGUGAAUACGUUCCCGGGCCUUGUACACACCGCCCGUCACACCAUGGGAGUGGGUUGCAAAAGAAGUAGGUAGCUUAACCUUCGGGAGGGCGCUUACCACUUUGUGAUUCAUGACUGGGGUG